rnacentral:tRNA from 1 species
GCCCCGAUAGCAUAGUGGUAAUGCGCCUGUCUCGUAAACAGGAGAUCGAGGGUUCGAAUCCCUCUCGGGGCU